rnacentral:lncRNA from 1 species
GAUUCUUGUGCAUUUUAGUUACUUGAUUCAUGCUCAAUAAUCCAAAAGUUUCAAUUUUAACUCAUAUUCAAUAUUCAUUUUUCCCCACAACUCUUACUAGAAUAGGUCAGCACUUAAAAUUGAUUCAUAUAUAGUAAAUAAAAAAUGUAAGUAGAGAAUACAACGAUACUACCUAAUCCAGAAUGGUUUUAACAAGAUUUAAAUAAAAAAAUAUACAUCUUCGUCAACUUCCUCCUCCUAAACAUUGUCAUCUCUAAUAAAAGAAUGAUUUUUUUAUUUUUAUUUUUAUUUUUUCGGGUAAUUAGUUCGGUUUCGAUUCGACAACAUAAAUACGAUACCCGUACCACUAUGAUCCGGUUCAUUAAAAUCAAAUAUCAUAUUCGUCCCAUUACAUCAUCAGUUCGAUUUUUUCGCCCCAUUAGGUUCGAUUAACUGCGGUUUUCGAUUUUAACAGUUCAAAUUUGCCCUCCCUAACUAUUAUUUAAAAGUAAUUUCGUCCAUAAACAUUUGAUGCAAUUUCAUCCUUCAAAUUUUUUUUUUUGUCAAAUAUUCUCAUUUUAAUGAGAAUCAAACAAGGCUAAAUUCAAACUUGGUCAUUUGACUAUCUUCAAAUUCUAUUCCUCCUUCAACUAUUUUAGAAUUUGAAUCCGUUAGUCCAUCUAUUCUUAAACAUCAAUUUGAAUUCUUUAAAAAAAAAAAAGUUGAAAUUUCGAAUUUGGCCAUCCAUCUAUUCUUAAACAUCAAUUCCAUUCUUCAACUUUUCGAAAAUUUAAAUUUGGUCAUUCAACUAAAAUUAAAAUUCAACUUCAUCAUUAAAAUUUUUGGAAAUUCUUAUUUGAUCAUCAACUAUAGUUUAAAAUCAAUUUCAUCCUUCAAUCUAACUAUUGUUUAUAUUCAUUCUCAUCCUUCGCCUAUUUGGAAAUUCAAAUUUGGUCAUCCAACUUAAAUUUAAAUUCAAUUUCUUCCUUCCACUGUUUGGAAAUUGGAAUUUCGCCAUCCAACUAUAACUUAAAUUCAAUAUCAUCCUUCAAUUUUUAUUAAAUUCCAAUUUCAUCAUCCAAACUAUUGUUUAACUUCAAUUUCAUCCUUUAACUUUUAUUAAAUUAAAAUAUGGUCAUCCAUUUAUUGUUUAACUUCCAUUUCAUCCUUCAGCUAUUAGGAAAUUCGAAUUUGGCCUUCCAACUAUUCUUACAAAUAAAUUUGAUCCUUCAUCUAUUUGAAUAUUUCAAUUUGGUCAUCCAACAAUAAUUUAAGUGAUUUCAUCGGUCAACGUUUAUCAUACGAAAGUGGUUUAAGUUAAUUUCAUUGAUCAACUAUUUGGAAAUUCGAUUUUGUUCAUCCUUCUAUUCUUAAACAUCAAUUUCAACCUUCAAACUUGAAAAUUUGAAUUUGGUCAUCCAACUAAAAUUUAAAUUCAAUUUCAUCCUUCAUCUAUUUGGAAAUUCUGAUUUGGUCAUCCAACUCAACCAGAAGACGCCUUUAACUUGAGGAAAAAUGAUAAAGUCAGAGAUUUUUUGCUCAAUGAUUCCAUUCAAUCAAAGGCUCAGCUCCAGAGUAAUAAUAUGGUUCUUUUGAAGAGCCUUGAUAAAUUUCAUUUAUAUGGCACCAUAACAAUGUGAUUGAUAAUGUAUUUUAUAAUACUUUUUCAUUAAAUUAAUGUAGAGAAUAUGGCACUCAUUUUGGGAUUGUCCUAAUGUUACGUUCAAUGAUGUAUAUCUGCCUUGAUUUUGAAGACGACCAUAUUAUAAAACACAAAGUUAUAGAUGCAGGUUGGCCUAUGGGAUUUGCCAUUCUUGCAAGACACUUGAGCUUGAAUGGCAAGAUAUAUUUUGACAUCUCUAAUUCAAAUAUAGUAUCCACACUCCUAGCCCUCUUAGCUCUCCUGCCAUAUGCACAUGAACGCACACGAAGAAUGGAAAAGGAGAUGCAUUUAGAAGGUAGUUGACAGUUAGGUAGAUGCCAUUAAUUUCUUCUCCUGGUUAAAAUUUACCAACUCCUGAAUUCACACAUAUUGUACCCCAUUUUGUGAUUGCCCUACGGUCAUAGUAGACAGUUUAAAAAUCAUAAAGUUGAUUGUUAAUUUGUUUUCUUGUUUGUCGCUAUACACCAACAAUCGAUUCAAAGUCGAGGAGUCAUGUGCAAUAUUGUGUAAAAAGUGUUGGUAGGUUAGGGUUUAACUUUAGAUUGAUUAAAAAAUUUAAAAUAAUAUUAGAGUAAGAAAAUGUUUUUUCGCCUAGGCCUAAGCUUGGCAUCCCCGUUUCCCCACUCUUUACGAUUUUUAGAACACUGAUCGAGCUUAAUCAAAUUAUCAAUUGUUGGAAAAUUAACAAAGCAAUUAAUGAAAAUGGAAGUAACACAGUCUUAUUCGUUUGAUACAUGUGUGAUUAAUUUGUAAUUAUCUUUAUACUCUUAUUCAAUAGUUGUUAUCUCCUCGGGUAGAAUGGCCAAUUUACAAUCUAAAUUCACAGAAUAUUAAAAGUCAUUUUUUAUCAAUGUUUUCAAGAAAAUUAUAUUCCUACCUUUUAAAUUCGUCCCAUUACAUGGCAUCUCCCACAAACAUUUUACAUUCAAAGUAAUAUCACUGUAGAUAAUUAAUAAUAACACACAGGUAGCACCAAUAUUCCAAGGCACGUUGUGUUUGGAACCAAGAUAUAAUUAUCCAUUAGGAUGGUCACAAAUUUUAUGCGAAAUGUAUGAAUUAUAUGUAGAAUGAAUGAGUACAAAUAUUAGUUGAGUACCCUCUGCACCUACUUCUUUCACUGAUAUUGAAGAAAAUGAUGCUGAAAUAUUAACUUUAUUGGAAGGCAUUAACAUGUAUAGAUAUGAUGCAAAUACAAUAGGUUCAUCUAGUAAUAGUUUAUCUUCUGCAUGUAAUCAAACAUUGGACUCAAUUACAAAUACAUUAUUUGUUGAAUGAAUUGAUUACUUUAAUCAUAAUAUGCUUACCAACAAAACAGUUAAAAAAAGCUCAGAAGAAAUUGAAUUUUGACGAAAAUACGAACGAAGAUGACCAGUAAUUUUCGCAAUCGCAAUAGAUCUACUGACGCCUCCGGUUAGCAUUAUAGUUUCAGAGUCUGCUUUUAGUGCAGGUAAGAAGGUUUUAUCUGUGGUCAAGAGAUGUCUAAAAGAAGACAUUUUGGAAGCAUUAAUGUGCGUAAGGAUUGGUAAAAUGCUCAUUUUCGACUACAAGAUAAAUAUAUUAUUUUACGUGUAUAGGUCAUUGAACCGUCAUUUUUUGGAUUAUUAGGAUAACACGAGUGACUACCUCAAACGGGCUGAACUUGCCAAAUACUAACAACAACCUUAAGCAUGAUUAAGUAAAUCCCUACCUCAGGCUUAGUCUGGACAUAGAUGUUCGACUAGAUACUUUCCUCUAGUCCUUGAGACAAUUCUCUGAUCGAGUAAAUCCAUUUAAUCACUUGGUUUAUGGAGAGUGAAUAUCAUAAAAACACAAGAAAUGGUUUACCACAAAGGAGAGACACCCCACCCACACAAGUGCAUAUAAACUAUGGUGCCUAACCCAUAUACAACAGAUUUCUCAAAACACACACAACAAACUACACUGUAAGCACGUAGUUUCCACAUUACAAUAAGUAGGGACUACAAGUGGACAACUAUUAUUUUGGUAGAUUUUAAGUAUCUAAAACAAUUAUUAACUUAAUGAAUUAGGGAUCGACUGAUUGAAUAAUGUAACCAACUAUGAUGCGCGCAAACACUCAUCCUAGGCGGAUUGCUAAUGUCCAAUAUAUUCACUAUGUGGCAUAUCAUGUUUUAUAUACAUUUUUUUUUUUCAAAUAUCCAAUAGUUGAUGGAGAUGUGUUAGUCGCCACGUGGUGUGAUCAAUACUCGUACUAAUUUCUAAUACACUCGGAACGCUGUCUUCACACGUUCGAAACAAUAAACCCCAUUUUGUAAAUUUUGGGAUAUAAAUAAAGGAAUUUUUUCUUUUAUCUUUUAAGUUAUUUGUAAAGAAUUAAAAUAAUGCUAGUUUUAUAUUUAUUAGGUUUUAUUGUAAUUGACUAUUCUUUAGACAAAAUUAAAGUUACAAAAGAGUUAAAAAAAUUUAAAAAGUUAUUUGGGAGGUUGUAUAAGUCAAUUAGGAGUUUUUGGAUUCGAGAAUGGAACAAGGAGAAAAAGUAGCUGGAAUAAUGCUAGCUGGUUGUCCCUUUAGCACUUGAGCCCUACCUUGGAGAAAUCAACAUAACCAUGCCGCCCGCUUGGCUCUAGCUCAUUGCUCGAGUGGUGGAGUCAAUGCUCUCUUGGUUCGAGCCUAGCUCUUGAGCAAUGUUGUUAUCCGAAGAAAUUCUAUUUACAAUUGAAACAACUUUCUAAGUCCUAAACAACUCCAAACACUCUCUACUGUAUAUAACUAAGUCAUAUUCCAUCCAGAUGGGUGAUUGAUCAUUAUAUUCUUCCUAGGAAACAUCUUUGAAGAGCCUACAACAAUUCUAGACCUUGGGAUCUUUCAACCACACUUUAGAAAACAUCAAAUCCAAAAUUAUCAAAACACCAAACCACCCUCUUUUGUAUAAUAUGUCAGAGUUUUAAAGAUCGAGAAAGGUAACUAGAGUUUCGGUAGGACAAGAAUGGGGAGUUCUUGAUGAUCCAUAUGAGAGAGACGAUUUCAGGAGGUUGAGAGCAGGUACAAUAUCACACAGUCCAUGAGGGCUUUGGAGAUUAUAGAAAGUAGGUCAGAGAGUACUAGGAGGAAGUCAAGUCUGGACCAUAUUGUAAGUCAAUUUGUUUAUAGUGGAUAUUACUGGCUUGGGCCCAAAGUUUUUUGACCUCGCAAUGUUUCUCAGUGAUCAUUUCGUUGGUGUUAUUUAUUUUGUGCAAAUUACUAACUGUGGCAAUUUAACAUAGGUUAGACUUGCUUGUGAGUUGCGUAAAUUUUAAUUCCGCAUUAAUCACCUAUUAUACGUAUGCAAUUUUCUUGACAGUAAUUUUGAUGUUUUUAAGACUUGUCUAAUUUUUUGGUCAUUACAGUAUUGUCUUAUCCAAUUACACAGCAAAAUGGAAUUUGCACCGUGCCAACCUGUUGAUAGGAUAAGCAAACUUUCUGAAAAUAUAAUAGAUGACAUUCUAAUGUGUUUGACAACAUGAUGCUGCAAAGACAAGUAUCUUAUCAAGACAAUGGAGGUAUAAAUGGAAUAAACUACCUCAUCUGAUAUUUGAUGUUACAUUGUGGCAAGAAUAAGAGUUUGCAAGAAUUUGAGGUAAAAGAGAGAACUCUGAAGUUCUUGCUAUUCGUUUACCAGGUUCUUUUACGUCACCAAGGACCCAUAACUCAGUUUACUCUUGUUAUUCCAAAGCUUGAAAUCUGUUCACAUGUUGACCACGCGUUCAAUUUCUUAUCAAAUUAUGGUGUCAAAGAAUUCAUCUUUGAAAUUGAUUAGGAAUACAGAUUCCGUCUUCACUAUAUAUAUAUUUACGUUGAAACAUUUGAAACUGUUGUCGAAUUUCCCAGCUGAAUUUGAUUACUUGGAAAUUGACGCUCUUACGCUAAGCCUUUUUCAUCUUCGAUGUUUAUGUUGUUCGUCUAUUUUUACAAAGAGAUUCCAACGGUUAGAGUUACUGCUUAUGAGCGUUAUGAGGUUGACUAAUUAAAUUAUGGAAACUGUAACUUCGUUGGAUUCUUUGAUUCUCUUCCUGCUCUUCAUAAACUGUGCAUGGACUUCCAUUUUAUGCUGGUAUGGUAUGAUUGAUUAUAAAUAUAAUCACGUGAAUUCAAGUUAAAUAUGUUCGAUCAUAAUUUUUCCAUCUGCUUUCUAGACUUUAUCUGCAGGUCAAAUCCAAACAAUGCUUCCAACUUCUUUAAUCCACCUUAAAAUUCUGAAUUUACUAAUAUAUAUCUAGAUCUAGAGGAUGAAUUCUUGUGGGGGUUUUUGCUUGAUCAGAAGCUCCCCCAACCUUGAGAAAAUUAUCACCGCGGCAAGUAAUGGACAGAGUUAUUUCUGUUUACGUUAUUCUAUAUCCUGAUUUGAACUAAAAAUUAAAGCUAACUAAUUUUUUUGUCAUAUUUCAUAGAUUACGGAUUGGGAAAAUACGGGUGCAAGCCCUGUUCCAGAGUUUCUAAAAGUGCAAGACUACUAAGAUGUACUUCUAAAUCAACUUCAAGAAGUGAAGCUAGAUUCCAUUACUGGCAUAGUUUCUGAGAUAAUACUGAUCCAGCACAGGAGAGAUUUUUUCCGGCCUAGCAUUGAGAAAGUAAUGUAAUUUUAAAAGAGGUAAACAAAUUUCAGUGUGCAUCACCAAAUGCAGCGGUCAUUUAUGAAAAUAAACUUUGAUAGAUGGAUGAAUCUAGUUCAAACAGAUCAGAAGGACUUUACUUUCAGUUUUGCAAUGUGGCUUUCUGAAAUUAGAAAUGUUUUUGCUGGAUCAUGCAAGGCAGUGUUGGCUAAUUAUGAGAUUUCAAACCAUAUCGAGAAAACACUUCUAGAUUAUAGCUUUGGUACAAAUAGAUAUACUUAAAAUGGAAGUAACUUAUGAUCUUAUUUUCAUGAUGUUCUUCACUUAUAUGAAGUUUUGACUAUAUUUAUAGUUUAGGAUAAGAUUUGGGUUUAAUGAUGUAAAUAUUUUGAAUAUUUACAUGUAGGGCAUGAAAGUUUAUCCUCGAGAAAUAUAAGUCAUAUCUUAUUCAACUAUUGAUGAGUGCGUUUUACUUACGAGUUUAAGCUAAUUUUAACUUGAUUGUAAGUUAGAUUUUACGAGUAUUGAAUGUUUUUAAUGUGUUUGUAAAUGUUGUUUUAUAGGAUUAUCGAGAUGGUGAAGGAGAUGAAAAAGAUCAUCGAUUGAAGUUAAUGGUGUGGAUUGAAAAGAAAUUGUGGAGAAAGGUACAAAAGAGGCAAAGCAAAAUUAUUGGACAAGUAGUGCCCCAGGGCUCAAAUAGCAAGGUGCCACAAAGAAGCGAGGAACAGAGUGUGGGCGUCGUGGCGCCAAGUGCUUCAGACAGAGCGCCACCUCACUUAUAUCGCGACGAAAUUUCAGUCCUUUUGUAGUCUAGAUGAAAACCUUACCUUCUACACACUGCAAGACCCAUACAAAUACGAAAUUUCUCACACAUUUAAGGGGGGUUCACACAUUGAGAGGCAAGAAAAUACAAUUGGAGAAUUAAAGGAGGAAUUCAGGGGGGGGGGGGGUUUCGAGAAAUUCAUCUUGUAAAGCAUUGAUUGGAAGAGAAAAAAAUUCUUGGUGCAAGAUCUACUUUUUCUUCUACACCUUUCAUACAAAAUCCGGUGAUGAUAAUCUAUGAUUUUUCCUUUUUCAUUAUGAAUAGCUAAAUCUAUUAUUAGGGUGAAUAAUGUAACCAAUUGGGAUCCUUUAUAUUUUUUUUAUUAAGAUUUUUUGUUUUUAAUUUUUCCAUG